AAUUCACGAAAUUAGAAUUUUGGGAUGCGGAAGCAGAGUGGCGCAGCGGAAGCGUGCUGGGCCCAUAACCCAGAGGUCGAUGGAUCGAAACCAUCCUCUGCUAAGCAAAGCUGUGAUCGUAUAGUGGUUAGUACUUCACGUUGUGGCCGUGACAACCCAGGUUCGAAUCCUGGUCACAGCAUUUGUACCGAACACAACACAAAACAAAGUUCUUGUUAUU